rnacentral:misc_RNA from 1 species
GAUGAAGAACGUAGCGAAAUGCGAUACGUAAUGUGAAUUGCAGAAUUCAGUGAAUCAUCGAGUCUUUGAACGCACAUUGCGCCCCCUGGUAUUCCGGGGGGCAUGCCUGUCCGAGCGUCAUUGCUGCCCUCAAGCACGGCUUGUGUGUUGGGCCUCCGUCCUUCUCCCGGGGGACGGGCCCGAAAGGCAGCGGCGGCACCGCGUCCGGUCCUCGAGCGUAUGGGGCUUCGUCACCCGCUCUUGUAGGCCCGGCCGGCGCUUGCCGACACAUCAAUCUUUUUUCCAGGUUGACCUCGGAUCAGGUAGGGAUACCCGCUGAACUUAAGCAUAUCAAAAGCGGAGGA